AUCUCAACGGGGAUAAAUAUGUAUCCACUUUGCUCUCCCAGAUCCUGUUCCUUGAACUCCAUCAAACUAGGCAGAUAGUUUUACAUUGGAGUGUACAAAUUAUCCCAUGUUGACAGAUGUUUGUCACUUAGUAACUUCUUUCCAAGUUUUUCCCCCUCCCCUAAGCUUUCUUUCCAGCUUGCUUUGUUGUUUUAAAAUAUGCAUGUCUCUCACUGGAAUGCCAGUCACGAGUGCAAACUUUGUGUCCAGCCUCCCACAUGAAAUGAUCCUUUUAAAGGGAACUCGAUAUGUCUCAAUCUGCACUUCACUCAAAGCCUCUGGGUACGGGCCACUCACUCACUGGUCCUGGCUCCAAAAUAACUCAGCAGAAACGAGUUUCCAACUAAAAAUCCCCUCGAAUGUCUCCCAGGGAAGAAAUAUAGCUCCUAUAAUUAAAGGAGGCAACGGCCAGAGGGGGAGUGCAGCCGGCAGCCAAAAAAGAAAAGUAAGAGUUUUAUUUAUUUGCUGAUUGAACUUGGGUUGUCAUGACCAGCAGGUUUAUCCACAUUAGAAGUGCUGGAGGUUUGUACUAUAUGUGCACAGGAGGUAGAGGUGGGGAGAAAAGGAAGGAGAAGGAAAGUAGGAAGAAUAACAGACCAGGCCAAUUUUGAAGGAGAGAAAAUGAUCUCUGUGGGACAACGUAAAUAAACUUCCUAGCACUGGAUUUGACUAAAAACUUGUAGCUGAGGAAUAUGUGGAGAGGGGUUCAGAGGAGAUGGGGGGUAAUUAUAGUAAACUCUUAGAUGUGGGGUAUCAUCAGGAAAAGGAGGACUCUGUUUUCCCCAGAAAAGUAAUGUGACAGCAGGAAAUUUAUUAGCUGUGCUGUGUGUGGCGGUUAGGUAUGUGGGGGGUGGAAUUAUGGAGGGAGGCUCCAGAGAAAGGAAGAAGUUCCAGGACUCAAAGCAGAAGUGUCAUGGAACCAGGAGCCCUCCACUCUCCUUGACAAAAGUUGCCUAGGAGGUGUAGAUGUGAAAUCUCUAGAAGACAUUAUCUUUGCACCUUAUUAGUUUCAUCUAUUUGAGCUGAUUCUGGCAUUAGAACCACAUAUAAAAUGAAUCAGCGCACAGGAUGAAGAACACCUCCCCACCUCUUGGGCCACCCUCCAAAAGGGGGUAGUAGUGAUUAUAAGCUUCAAAACACAAGGAGUACUCAGCCUGGGCAGCCCAUUUCUAUUAAAGAGGCAAAACUUUAGUACUGAUGAAAAACAGAUGAUUUUUUUCUUCCUCUCUGAAACAGUUACUCUCUUUUACUGAUGUGAAGUGACGUCAGCAAUGCCUGCCCUAUCCCCUUGGAGAGAGGGGAGAGAGGAGGAGGGUAUGGAAGGAAGGAGCUGGGAGAAAGAGCAAGAGAAAAAGAGAAAGAGGAAUUGACAGAAGAGGAAAAAGGGUGGUGGGGGGAGAGAAUGAGAAUGUAUAUCCUACACUUUGGGGGGCCAAAAAUCCACAAAGAGUGGGCAAAACAAUGCUUUAGAAGCCUGUGAUUGAUAAGACACCUUUCCUUGCUCUCACCCGAUCUACAUAUUCUAACAUAUGGAAAGCUUAGAGGCCCUGUGCACUUAUAGAAGCCGAUAAUGCAUUAGCUCUCAGCAAUAUUUACAGCACCACUCUUAAUACACACCAGAUGGUUCGCGACUGUGCCGCCUCAGCCAGCUCACUCCUCGAUUUUACUCGGCGGCACUUUGUUGCAAUUACGCUCCAUGCUGAGACCAAUUUUAUUGGUGACCUAUUUUUCAUAUUUGCAGCAUUUUAUGUUAAAAACCUCCUCUCUGGCCUUUUUGUUAAGGGCAGCGCUCAGGAAGGGAGAGUUUAGGAGGACAGCGGUGCUGAGGGUCUGUCGAGGUGGAUAUUAAUAUUUAUCGUGAUGUUACAUACCUUGGGUUUAAGUGAGUAAACCGGAUAGACAUAAGUACUCCGGUCAUUAUGUUUGUUCACUAACCCCUGUUUGUCAGACCCCCACGGACUCUACACGGCGCGCUUGCCUCAGAGUCAAUACAUCGGACCAUAAAUAUUGUAUUCCAUUAAUUAUCACCCCACUGGCUUAUCCUGGGCGCCGGCGUCCUCGAGCGACGCAGGGCAAAUGAGGACGCUUCCUGAGCAUAUUUCUAGGCUGGGAACCCCGCUGAAAUUUCCGCGGUGCCUGGGAAUUCCUAGAGCCUGAGCGCCUGGCUCAACCCGGUCUGGGCCUGGGGCUGGCGUGCAGGGAAGGGGAGCUGGCGGGAGAAGGCCCGACGCCGCCAGGAGCACUCGGUACCAGUUAUCUUGCUACGCAGAAGGCCACUGGGAGAAUCCCAUUUGGCACGCCGGAAAAGGCUUUCAACUUUAUCUCCCGCCAUGUAAAUAACCCCGAGUGCCUGACUGAGGGACUUUGUUUUGCACCGAACAAUAUAAAUAUUCUAUUUGCUACAACGCAGGUGUGCUCUUCCUACCUAAACUCUCCCCUCCCUGCCUCGCUUAUGGUAACUCUUUCUACCCACCCCCUCCCCUGGUUAAAAAAAAAUCACAGAUGUUUACUUUAUUGAUAUAACCUAUACCGUGGUUAGGCUGAGAAUAAUACGCCUCAACUAACAGUCAUUUAGCAAAUAAUAGAGGCGUUCUGGAUGCUUUCCAACGUUACACAUGUACUUGGUCAUAAAAUGAUACGUGAAAAAAUUAACAUCUGCUUUCCUAAAAUAAAGUGUGCCAAGUAGCUUUUUAUGAAUUCUUUCCUCAUUUUAAAAAGAAAUAUGGAGAGACAAACUAGCACCCAGAUGUAUAGCACAUUUAUAAUGGUUUUAGAAUUUAAAGGUAGCUAUUCAUUGCACAAGCCAUUUAAAAACUGACGUUUUAAAAGCUACUUAACCCCAGACAUCUUCGAAUCCUGAGGAGUCUUCCAAAUUUUAUUAUUUAAAGAGGAAUUUACUGUAAUUUAAUUGCGUAUCAAGGCAGAACUAUGUGCAAGUCGGGGCACUGCAGCCUCAGCUCAACAGAAAUUCCAUCUCGCCUUUUAUUUACCUAAUUUCUCAGCAAGGUUCCCAGGCCCUUAAGAAGGCCGAGCUGGAAAGUUUAGUUGGGCUCUUUUUUGUUGUUGUUUAAUUCCACUAUUAGGAAAUGAGGCCUACCUUUGAAUUAUUUCAUUAUGAUUUGGCCUUUUGGGGGAAGGGGUGGGAACUAUAAUCAUUAGUGGCUUUUUAUUAUUUCUACAAUAAAUGGCUAGAUUCUUUGUUG
rnacentral:lncRNA from 1 species